GGCUUAGGAUGAACGCUAGCGACAGGCCUAACACAUGCAAGUCAGGGGCAGCACAAGGAGCAAUCUGAGGUGGCGACCGGCGCACGGGUGAGUAACACGUAUGCAACCUGCCUGUAAGCGGGGAAUAACCGUUGAAAGACGGACUAAUACCGCAUAAUACUAAAUUACUGCAUGGUAAUUUAUUUUAAACAUUUAUGGCUUACAGAUGGGCAUGCGCAUGAUUAGCUAGUUGGAGAGGUAACGGCUCCCCAAGGCAACGAUCAUUAGGGGUUCUGAGAGGAAGGUCCCCCACACUGGUACUGAGACACGGACCAGACUCCUACGGGAGGCAGCAGUGAGGAAUAUUGGUCAAUGGACGAGAGUCUGAACCAGCCAAGUCGCGUGCAGGAAGAAUGUCCUAUGGAUUGUAAACUGCUUUUGCAGGGGAAUAAAGUGCAUCACGUGUGAUGUUUUGUAUGUACUCUGCGAAUAAGGAUCGGCUAACUCCGUGCCAGCCGCGGC
rnacentral:rRNA from 1 species